UACGUAGGUGGCAAGCGUUGUCCGGAUUUACUGGGCGUAAAGAGCGCGCAGGCGGUCGUUCAAGUCGCGUGUGAAAGCCCCCGGCUCAACUGGGGAGGGUCACGCGAUACUGAUCGACUCGAAGGCAGGAGAGGGUAGUGGAAUUCCCGGUGUAGUGGUGAAAUGCGUAGAUAUGGGAGGAACACCAGUGGCGAAGGCGACUACCUGGCCUGUUCUUGACGCUGAGGCGCGAAAGCUAAGGGGGGAGCAAACGGGG
rnacentral:rRNA from 1 species